rnacentral:misc_RNA from 1 species
AACGCACAUUGCACCUCUUGGUAAUCCUUGAGGUAUACUUGUUCGAGCGCCGUUUAAAUUCUAAGGCUUUGCCUUGUGUUGAUGUUAUCGCUUAAUCGCGAUUCAUCAAAAUAAAUUGGCGUCUGUUUUUUUAGCCAGAAACGCAGUGAAAAUGCGAAGAAGGUUUAUUAACAAACAGCCUGUUUUUUUCCAUCCGACAGCUUUGCUGUCAGAGAAUCAAAAAAACAUGGCCUCGAAUCAAGUAGGGAUACCCGCUGAACUUAA